GACGAAGGGGGCUAGCGUUGUUCGGAAUUACUGGGCGUAAAGCGCGUGUAGGCGGUUGCCCAAGUCGGGUGUGAAAUCCUGGAGCUCAACUCCAGAACUGCCUCCGAUACUGGAGAGCUCGAGUCCGGGAGAGGUGAGUGGAACUGCGAGUGUAGAGGUGAAAUUCGUAGAUAUUCGCAAGAACACCAGUGGCGAAGGCGGCUCACUGGCCCGGUACUGACGCUGAGGUGCGAAAGCGUGGGGAGCAAACAGG
rnacentral:rRNA from 1 species